AAAAAGGGUAUCUGCCAUGUUUGGCACAGUGGUGACAGGGAUUAACUGACACCGCUGCGGAAUCGCUAUCAAGAGAUUUCGGAUGCACAAUUUUUAUGAACAGGGGCAGCUAAUGAUCGUUGAUCUUGGCGCCCCA